rnacentral:rRNA from 1 species
GUAGUCAUAUGCUUGUCUCAAAGAUUAGGCCAUGCAUGUCUAAGUAUAAGCAAUAUAUACAGUGAAACUGCGAAUGGCUCAUUAAAUCAGUUAUCGUUUAUUUGAUGAUACCUUUACUACUUGGAUAACCGUGGUAAUUCUAGAGCUAAUACAUGCAUAACAAGCCCCGACCCAUGGAAGGGGUGUAUUUAUUAGAUAAAAAACCAAUGCCUUCGGGCUCUUUGGUGAAUCAUAGUAACUUCACGAAUCGCAUAGCCUUGUGCUGGCGAUGGUUCAUUCAAAUUUCUGCCCUAUCAACUUUCGAUGGUAGGAUA